AGCUUUGCGCAGAGGAAGUGUCAUAGCAAUAAAGUUCUACCGAGGCGUGACUAUUGUUGGUUGAAAACUUUUCCCACUACCUCGCCCUGUCGACGUGAAAUACAGUGGUUGAGGCAAUUUGUGGGAACUCCUUCAGUAG